rnacentral:rRNA from 1 species
UACAGAGGGUGCGAGCGUUAAUCGGAAUUACUGGGCGUAAAGCGUGCGUAGACGGUUAUUUAAGUCGGGUGUGAAAGCCCCGGGCUCAACCUGGGAAUUGCAUUCGAGACUGAAUAGCUAGGGUACGGUAGAGGGAAGCGGAAUUUCUGGUGUAGCGGUGAAAUGCGUAGAUAUCAGAAGGAACAUCAGUGGCGAAAGCGACUUCCUGGACCAGAACUGACGAUCAGGCACGAAAGCGUGGGGAGCAAACAGG